GAAAGUCUCCCAGUUAAGCUGCCGUGCAAUUAAGAUGGUUGGGUUUGGAUUGUUGUACUUUUUUUUUUGUUCGUUGCAUUUUUAGGAACAAAAAAAAAAGCCCAACCCUUCACACCACUUCAUCCGCAUCUCAAGACCAGAAGCCGACCCCAGCGGCUUGGGGAAAUGGAGCCCCGCACCCCACAAGGGGGAGGGUGGGACGGGCACCUCCGCACUGCGCGGCCUGCGGAGUCACCGAUUCGCGUUGGGAGCGCGCCAGGAGCGCCAGGGCUCUAGCCGGGGGCUCCGGGCAAGGCGCAACCAGAAAAGGGUUCAGUAUCCCCCAUCACCCCCACCCCCAACCGUACCCUCUUUCUUUGCGGGCUUUAGGCAGGACACCAGAGACCCAAUUCUAUUUAAAAUUCUCUUUUAAGAAAAGGAACGCCUGUUUUUGCCUUUGGGGGAAAGGAUGAACUUUCAAAUUGGCUUUAAAUUAUCCACCACUAACAGUUACUCAGUCGAUAACCUGACUAUUCUGACGUCCACCUCCCGUUUGAGGACCUUGCCCAAUAGCAAACGUACUAAGCACUUAACCAGUGAACGGUGUGAAGGAUGCAAACAUGGAUGAUGAAGGAAUGGCUCCUCCAGAAUUUACGAUCUUGGGAGAAGUGAGGCGAGUAUAGAAUCUCAGAACACGCUGUAGGAUUGAGUUCGAUCCCAGUUGAGGAAGUUUGGGUUUGGGGAGGAAAUAGGUUAUUUUGGAGAAACGGUAUUCAAAACCUACCAUAAAUAGCAGUACAGCCCGUUGACUAAUAAUGCUUAGCCCAACCCCCGUAAAAAGCCCCUGGCCACAUCCGUCUCCUGAGAUUCCCACUUCUCUGUGUGCAUCUCCCUUCCUGCUAUAAGAAACCUAACUUUGCCUUCGUAGAACACUUCUUUUAAUUUCUGUCAUUCAGUCUCAUAACACUGUGUAAAAGAAAUUAUGAUCUUCAUCCUAUAUAGAUGAGAAAACAGGUGAAGUGACUUUUCCAAGGUACAAAAGCAAGAGGCAGAGCUGAGGCUAAAGGCAGCUUCCAGAUAUGGGCUCUUUCUACAGCACCAUAACUGUCAGUGACAAAACUGCACCCCAGUACCUUACUAAAUUUAGUGUUUUUAGGCCAGGCACGGUGGCUCACGCCUGUAAUCCCAGCACUUUGGGAGGUCGAGGCGGGCAGAUCACCUGAGGUCAGGAGUUCCAGACCGGACUGACCAACAUGGUGAAACCUGGUCUCUACUAAAAAUACAAAAAUUAGCCGGUCAUGGUGCCGUAUGCCUGUAGUCCCAGCUACUUGAGAGGCUGAGGCAGGAGAAUAGCUUGAACCCGGGAGAUGGAGGUUGCAGUGAGCCGAGAUCCUACCACUGCACUCCAGCCUGGGCAACAGAGCAAGACUCCGUCUCAAUAACUAAAUUAAUUAAUUAAUUUAGUGUUUCUAAAAAAACAAAGUGAUCUGUAGAAACAUCUCAUUUAUUUGUUGUCAUUGUGUGUUGAUUGAUUUUGAGACAGGGUCUAUCUCUGUCCCCCAGGCUGGAGUGCAGUAGCAUGAUCAUGGCUCACUACAGCCUCAAGCCCCUGGGCCCAAGUUAUCCUCCUCCCUUAGCCUCCCAAGUAGCUGGGACCACAGACAUGCGCCACCACGCCUGGCUAAUUUUAUUUUUUGUAAAGAUAGAGUCUCACUAUGUUGCCCAGGCUGGUGUCAAACUCCUGGGCUCAAGUGUUCCUCAGGCCUCAGCCUCCCAAAGUGCUGGGAUUACAGGCGUGAGCCACCACACCCAGCCAUAUGGAAACAUUUCAGAUAUCCUAAUAUUAAAAUGAUAUUUCACAAGACUGGACAGUUAUUAACUCAUGUGAAAGGAAAAUCUUGGGGCCCCAAAAUCACUAAGCUAAAGGAAAAAGUCAAGCUUCGGAGAACUGCUUAGGGCAAACCUGCCUCCCAUUCUAUUCAAAGUCAUCCCUCUGCUCACUGAGAUAAAUGAAUAUCUGAUUGCCUCCUUUGGAAAGGGUAACCAGAAACUCAAAAGAAUGCAGUGAUUUGCCUCUUAUCUCCCUAAAACCUGGAAGCCCGCCCCCUGUUUUGAGUUGUCCCACCUUUGCUUCAAGUCGUCCCACCUUUUCUGGACUGAACCAGUGUUCAUCUUACACACGCUGAUUGAUGUCUCGUGUCUUCCUAAAAUGUACAAAACCAAACUGCUCUGACCACCUCGGGUUCUGACCUCCUGAAGCUGUAUCAUGGGCACGCAUCCUCAACCGUGGCAAAAUAAACUUUCUAAAUUAACUGGGACAUGGCUCAGAUUUUUAGGGUUCACACGCAAAACCCACAAAUUAUCCUUAAUAUAAUUAUAUAAUAUAUAUUUAUGUAGUUAGAUCUGGUUGGUGGUAGAUACUAAUACACUUUUGCCCAACUAAGUGUAAAACACAUUAAAUCUGUAUAGCAAUCUCUAGACUAUUACACAAAAUUAACUACUAACUAGAAAACACAGUAUAUUAAAUUCUCUUAAGUGUGGAAAAAUGGAGAAGGAAGAAUAACCUUUUCUCUCCUCCCGUGGUCCUAAUACACAGAACAGCGACUGGGAAACUGCCACUAGAAAAAGAUGACUGUCCAACUAAAACCUGCAUACACAGCUACAUCCUUCCCUGGAAGAGCACAGUGGAACUAGAUCCUAGUACAGAUAGCACAGGGAUUGUCAACAUUCUUGUCACACUGAAAUUUCCUUCUACUGAUCUCCAAACUUCUAAAAAUUUGCUGUUGAGACCAGCUGAAAUGUUUGAAAGAAGCAACUAAAGAAAGAAACUUUGAAAGAAGCUUCCAAAAGAAGCAACCAAGUCUACAAAGGCACAGUUUGACUCAAAUGGAUCCAACUGAUUAGCAAAUGGAAAAUAACAUGGAGGAAUAUAUUUUGCAUGACAAGCAUAGCAGCUCCAAGUCAUCCCUAAUGAAGCCAAAAAUUUAAGUGCAACCCAGAGAAUGGAUGGUUCAGAAUCUUUUUUUUUUUUGAGAUGGAGUCUCGCUCUGUCACCUAGGCUGGAGUGCGGUGGCAUGAUCUCGGCUCACUGCAAGCUCCGCCUCCUGGGUUCACGCCAUUCUCCUGCCUCAGCCUUCCGGGUAGCUGGGACUACAGGUGCCUGCCACCACGCCCGGCUAAUUUUUUGUAUUUUUAGUAGAGACGGGGUUUCACCGUGUUAGCUAGGAUGGUCUCAAUCUCCUGACCUCGUGAUCUGCCCGCCUCAGCCUCCCAAAGUGCUGGAAUUACAGGCGUGAGCCACCGCGCCCGGCCCAGAAUCUUUUUUAAAUUUUUUAUUAUUAUUAUUUUUUCUGAGAUGGAGUCCGGCUCUGUGGCCAGGCUGGAGUGCAGUGGCACAAUCUCAGCUCACUGCAACCUCUGACUCCCAGGUACAAGUGAUUCUCCUGCCUCAGCCUCCUGAGUAGCUGGGAUAACAGGCACGUGCCACCACGCCCAGCUAAUUUUUGUAUUUUUAGUAGAGACGGGGUUUCACCAUGUUGGCCAGGAUGGUCUCGAUCUGCCUACCUUGGCCUCCCAAUGUACUGGGAUUACAGGCGUGAGCCACCGUACCCGGCCCAGAAUCUUUGCCUUUUGUUUGCAUAGUUUAAUCUUCUAAACCAGUUGCUUUCCCAGAAAAGGUGACUUAAAGUCAUAGCCUUUGUGUUCAUCACCAUACUCUCCAUAGUUUUACAAAUUAUUCAGUUUAUUUUUAAAAGGGGUAAUUUUUAAAAUUUUUAUUUUUAAUUCCGAAGCAUUCCUUUUAAUACAUUCUCUUGAGGGAAAAAAAAAAUCACACAUAGUGAUUGUGUGUGGUAGUGAUUAUGUGUGGCCUAAGUGGCAAUUGAUCAAUACCCCAAUCUCAAGCCUGUACAUUGUUACUGGUUGACUGGUUGGUUGCCUGGUGGGCUUUUUGUCCUUCCAGAUGUUUUUCUACCUUCUGCCUUUUCCAAUAAAGCUUCCAUUAUAGGCGUAUUUUCCUUCUUCCCUGCAUACCCCACAGAAGGAAAGCUGCUAAAAUCUCAGAGCCGGAAAGUUCCAAGGGGGCUGCAGCAGCCCCUCUCUCCUAGUUUUUGUUCACCCUUACUAAGAGCAAGGCAGCUCAAGUCAGAUUGCUGCAUGUGCAUUUUGACUCCAUCAUUGAGCAAGUUCAUUUAUUCACUAUUCAUUCAGCAACAUUUGAGCACUUCUCUCUUCCUCCAUGGCCACCAUUCUAGCCCAUGCCACCAUGAUUUAUUGUUUCUGUCUUUGAUGCUGAGCCUGUCUCCCUACAGCCACAUGGUCCUUCUACACAAUCAUAUCACUGCUCUGCUUACAUCCCUUCCCCAGCUUCCCACCCACUUAGUCCAAGUCCAAGUCCCUUGGUUGGGAGCCAA
rnacentral:lncRNA from 1 species